rnacentral:rRNA from 1 species
CACGUAGGGGACGAGCGUUGUCCGGAUUCAUUGGGCUUAAAGGGCGCGUAGGCGGGCUGCCAAGUCUGUGGUGAAAUCCUCCAGCUUAACUGGAGAACGGCCGUGGAUACUGGCGGUCUCGAGGGAGAUAGGGGCAAGCGGAACUGUGCGUGGAGCGGUGAAAUGCGUUGAUAUGCACAGGAACUCCGGUGGCGAAGGCGGCUUGCUGGAUCUCUUCUGACGCUGAGGCGCGAAAGCUAGGGGAGCGAACGGG